rnacentral:rRNA from 1 species
CGCGCGCUCGCUCCUCCCCGUACGCUGCCGUCGUCGUGCACUCCGAGAUCCCGCGGCCACCGUCGUUUCCUCGACUGCAGCUCGUGUCCAUGAGUGCUGCCUCGCUCACCUCCCUCGAGCUGGCGCCCUGCAUCGCCUCGGGGAGCAUCGCAUCGACCUCGUCGUCUCUGUCAACACCCGCGGCCACCGGAACCUUGUCGUCGACCCCCUCGACUCCGGCACCCCUGGCUCCCAGAGCACCUCAUCUGAAUCCGCUACACCGAGACCGACGCCGCUGCUACCCAGUAUGACUACGGUGUUGACGACCCCUCUCUCUUGCCAGAGCAACCAGACAUUGGAGCCCAGGAGCCAGACGCCAUCGUCGACAACGGCUACUACUACUCGGGAGGUGCCUACUACUACGUCCAGCCUACUGACGACGACCAGGAGUAGUUUAGGAGGAUCCCAGGCAGGAGGCCUGCGCCUCUUUCGAUCUAUAUCCCAGUUUGUGCUAGCCUUCUUAAGGCAAACUUGUUUAACCUAUGUCUGUACUCAGAUAUUGUUGCUUCCGCUGACUCGUCUAUGAUCGAGCUCUUGUAUUCGAGCCCUCGAGGCCCCUGGCUUGUAAUAUGAUGCUUGUAUGACUUAUUUUAUUUGU